rnacentral:lncRNA from 1 species
GAAGGAAGGAAGAAAGAAAGGAAGUGGUGGCUUGGAGCAGAUAAUACCUGGAUGCCACGCCCCCGGCAACCCUUGGACCUCACCGCCCCGUUGAAGAGGCGUCAUGCCCCAUGCUAGAUGGAAAAAAGUCAGGCUCUGAGACACCAGCAAUUUCCCCGGGCCACUGGGCUUCCAACCCAGAGUCUACAAGAUGAGCACAGCCCAACAUGGAGAAGGGUCUAGGACAGCAGUUGAAGCUUGGAGAUCAGCUGAGCCUGCGAUUUGGGACAGCAGACAGUUCCUAGUGCUCAAGGGGGACCGGGAGGCAGAGGAAUUGGGUCAGCUCCUGGUCCAGCCUCCUAUAAGGCCUGGCCAGUGAGUAAUUUUGCCUCUGUUUCCAUCCUCAGGGGGGUGAGGUGGAAGGGAGCCAUCAUUCAGGGCAGCGGGGAGGACUGACUCUGUUUUCUGUGAACUUUCAGUUCCUAUCUUCUGCCUAUUGUUUUCUAUUCAGUUGUUGGUCUUACUUUCUCAAAUUUUGGGAGUUCUUUCUAUGUGUGGAAAGUCAGCCUUUGUGAUUCUGUGGUCUGAGGUGCACAUAUUGUCUAGUCUGUCAUUUGUCUCCUGAUGUUGGUUAUGUGUUGUGUGUGUGUCUGUGUGUGUGUUUGAGUGUAGUCAGGGUUAUCUAUCAUCCUUGUGAUGCUUGUGGCUUCGGGGUUGGAGUUAGGGCCGCCUUCCCCAACGUGAUCCCUGCUUCUCUUGGUUCUUGCAAAGUCUGUCUGUUUACCCUGGGGCUGUCCAUGCCCUGGCUUUGAUAGUGUGAAGUGUGGAACCAGUUUCAUCUUCUUCCAAAGGCUGCUCCUUGGCCCCAAUGCUAUUUGUUAAAUGGCCCAACUUGCUCCCCUGGACCCUUUGUCCUGGGGUCCAUCCCUGGGCCCUCCUCUCCCUGGGUAUGUGCUGGCCUCUGUGUCCAGAAGGCAAAAGGACCCAUGGACUCACCUGAGCAGGGGAUUUUUCACAGGCAACCACCUUGCACACUUCCUAUAUGGUUUUUUAAUUCUUAAUUUUUAAAAUUAUUUUUAUUUUUAUUAUUAUUUUUUUUGAGACAGGCUCUUGCUCUGUCGCCCAGACUGGAGUGCAGUCGUGCAAUCCCGGCUCACUGCAACCUCCACCUCUUGGGUUCAAGCAAUUCUGCCUCAGCCUCCUGAGUAGCUGGGAUUACAGGCAAGCACCACCAUGCCUGGCUAAUUUUGUGUGUGUGUGUGUGUGUGUGUUUUGUUUUGUUUUUUGUUUUGUUUUUUUCUAGUUGAGACAGGGUUUCACCAUGUUGGCCAGAAUGAUCUUGAACUCCUGACCUCAAGUGAUCCAUCUGCCUCGGGCUCCCAACGUGCUGGGAUUACAGGUGUGAGCCACUGCACCUGGUCCCUGGAUUGUUUUAUAAAGUGAUCUCUGAGUAGCUUAUAAACCAUGAUGCUUAACCCCUGUGAUUGUCAGGCCCUACUCCAGGAAGCAUCUGGAAACCUGAGCACCAUCUUUUGCCUUCACCAGUGUUGUUGGGUCAAUAAAGACCAUGGUGACUCCGGGGUGCUGUGUCUCUCGGACACAGUUCUUGUUGUUCUAAACCAAGUGCCUAACUCCAGAGACGCUGCCAGGAUUCUAAGGCAAGGUGAGGUCUUGUCUUCGGAAGGAUCUUUCAGGGAAACCCUCACCCCACAGGGUGCUGUGUGACCUCCGUCUUACAGAAAUAGACACGGGGAGAUUACGCAGCAGCCCAGGCCCACUGAUGAGCCGCAGCUCUGGGUGCAAACCUGGGACUGCCGAGCCUGGGCGCUGCUCUUUCCUGCCUUCAACCGGCCUGCUGGCACCCACGGUGCGUCCUCCAGUUGGUGAGUCACCGGCCAUUUAUUCAUCACGCAGCAGGCAGUGGAAGGUGCCAGAAUGGCGUGCCCUACGAAGCUCUGUGCUGGUGAGUCACUGCUGCCAGCAUGGAGUAGGGCGGCGGAGGGAGGCGAGGCUCUGGCCAGGGAAGGCCGAGCCAGCAGGCGGCAUCACUUCCGCCUCUGCCCUCUCAGGGGAGGAUGGCUGAUGUGGAAGCUGAGCCUUUCCUCUGUGCGCUCUCUAUCCCUGUGCCCCACCACACACACACAUGUGCACACACACACAUGCAUGCAUACAGCACGCACGCCAGCUAAUACCGAGCACCCCACCAGAGGCCGAGCAGCUGCGGGUUAACAAGCGGGCCUGGCAGACUCGCUUUGCUUCCUCUGGUUUAAUCUCCUCCCUGGAAAACGGGAGUGGUAAGCCCACCCUGCCUGUUUCCCGGCAGACUUCUGCUCCCAUGUCCCACGGCUCCAGUCCCCCAGCCUGGCAGGAGGAACAAAGCUCGGGCAUGAAGUCACCCAGACCUGGGCUCGAACCCUGCCUCCACCACGCACAGCCUACUCUGGGCCGCAGUUUCCCCACCCGACACCCGAGGAUACCAACGCUGGUGUCACAGUGAGGGGGCUGUGCUGGGGAAGCAUGGGUCCAGUGCCAGCAGACGCCGCUCCCCAUUCAUGGAAGUGGCAGCCACGGCUCUUGCGACGGCUCCCCCAGGCUGGCGGGGGCACCGGGCAUCACAUCAGAUGACUUCAGGGGUCUCUUUGCUCCCUUUACCUGGAAAAGGCCUCAAAGUAGGACUCUUCCUGGCCUCAAGGCAAAGCACCCUCUGGCCGGGCGCAAACCUCCCUCUCCUGUGCUCGUGCAGUCCCUCCCUCCAGGGGCUCCCACAGCCCUUUGCUCUGCCUCUGAGGCAUUGUCAUCCCCACUCGGCAAGUAGAGACAUCGCGGCCCGGAGAGACUAGUUAACACCUGCCCAAGUUAGCACGGUAAGGGAGAGAUGGGCCUGAGACGGAACCCAAGUCCCCUGACACCCAGCCUCAGGCUUUUUCCAAGAGCCAUGUUUGGGGAAAUUGGCGUGAUAUCGAGCAACUGCCUUCGAAUGGGCCAAAGUUUUCAGAAUUGCUGGGGGACCGGAGCCCACUCCUCCGGAGGCCGCUUUCUUCCUUCCCGAGUCAGACUCAGGAGGCUGGGCUGUAGCAACACUGGAGGUUCCAGCAGCUGACUCUGUGAAAAGAAACAGCAAUUUCCUUAUUGAUCUUCUCCUUCCCGCUACAGUCUGGAAAAUAAGGUCGCCAAGAAUGAUGUUGUUGCUGCGUGUCUCUCGUUGUUUCAGUUUCGCUUAUUGAAUUGUUAUCCCUGGAGGACCCCCAGCCUCACAGCCACUACUUCACCCCCAAACAGCUUCCUGUUUCAAGGACAUCAGUGGCUCAUCCAGAUUCCACGAAAAGUGCCUUCUCUGGCUAGUGCCCUCCAGCACUGACCCCUCCGCUGUCCCCAGCACAGCACAGCCUGAAAGGUGGCCAGCUGUCCGUCCACCAGCAUCGCGAUUCCCCAGCUUCCAGCCUCCUCACUUCUGUAAUUAGCAGGACGGGCCCUCCUAUCAGCCCCCAGGCUGUUUGUCUCGCUCAGGCUGGCUCCUGUUGUCCCUGUUAAAUUGGCUGUGGCAGGCCAUAAUAAAGAAGAAAAACUGGCUGCAUCAGGUCACUCCAAGAAGCUGACAUUAGCUCCAGAAGGGCUGGGAAAGGAGAGAUUCAAUUAAACUUUUACUGCGGCCCGUCGGCUCCUGGCCUGGCCUGUGAAUUCUGGAGCUGGGCUGAGGUUUGGAGAAGACUCACAGCCAGAGGAGCUUCCCCGGGGUCCCUCCUACCAGGAGACUGUCAGUCUGCACUAGUCCCAGGCAGGCGGGGGGAGCGUGGCCCUGUGGGGUUACCCUGCAGCCCAACUCUGCAGAAGGUUAAUGAUCGCACAGCUCCAUGCCAAAGGCUCAAACCAGACACCCCAGCCUCAAGGGGCUCUGAGCCUACUGCAGAAGACAGAGACAGGGACAGACAAUUCCAGAAGAUGUUCCUGAGUCUCCAGUUCUUGGAUAUGAAACCAGCAGCUAAUUUAGCCCACUCAAGUGCAAUAAAAUCACAGACAAAUGCGGCGGCCUCUUCGGGCCCUUACCGAUUCUUUAUAUACAGGCUGAGACUAAUCUAAAAGGAGCCGGCUCCUGAGUGUCUGUUGUGCCCUGCAGAAGACUCCAGGCUAGACGGGAGUCCCUACGGUCCUGCUGGCCUCUGCUCUCCUCUGGGCCCGCCCCAUGCCUGCACACGAAGGUUCUCAGUCUGUGUGUGUUGAAUACACGAAGGACGGUGCACACCUCCCACCGUGAAACAUUGGGAAAGCAUGCAAGGCAGGGAUGGGCCUUCAGAAGCAAACUGAGGUCUGGAGGCAGCCAGUGCCCGGCUUCUGGCACCUUCCAGUCAUCGUUCCACUUCAACAACCAUUUCCAGAGCUCCUUGGGGGCGCGCAGCCAGCUGAGCUGGUGGGACUGUGAAGAGGUGGCUCGCCCUCCCUCGAGGCAGGGCCUGGCCUGGUUCUGGCUCUUGUCCUCACCUGGACGCUCUGUUUUUGGAAUGAGGGCCACUCCAUGUGCCCUGGACAUUCGGCUGCGAUCCUCUGAGGCACGGAAUGGAUUCUCCUUCCUGCUUCCCAGAACUGAGACUUGGGCGAUGAUGUAAAAGGAGGAGAAGCACCCGGGAAGCCCCGAAUUCCUGACACAGGAAACCUCUGGGGGACAGGGAGGCCGGCCCUGAAACCCUCUUGUCUUUUGAAAUCGUCCACAGCCCCUCAUCAGGGACAAGGAGGAGGAAGCCAGCACCUCCUUUCUGCUCGCCAACCCCCAGCCAGGCCCUGCAGACUCUCCCUCCCAUGUCUAGGCAGUCUGAGAAGAAGCAAUUUGGUGCAUGUGAAUUAUUCAGAGCAGUCAAAGUGAGAGGAAGGACUGAGGCAACCCAUCUAGAAACAGCCAGAAAAGAGAUCCCAGCUCGAAACCACUCAUAAGGUUCAUCUUGAAAACAAAUUAGCGACAGGAUUCUGGAUAACCCUGUGCUCUUCUGCAGGCUUUUCAAUUACUGGCCUGCUGACGUUCACCUCUGGCAACCCCCCUUCAUCACUGACUCCAGAGAGCAAAGGUCCUUUGGACUCGCUCAUGGUCCUGUCCCAGCCACACUUCCGGCCAGCUCAGCGCAGGUGCGCAGUAGCUCCCUGUGGAGGGCAGGAAGUUGUGUCUCUAAUGAUCUCACAGGAGCACCUCCUAUGUGCCUCAACACUGGUCACAGCCUGUGCCCCUGACCCCAAGCCAGGGGAAUGCCCAAGCCAGGGCUCUCCACCACCCUGCUCAGGCCCCAUCAUGAAGCGCAUCGCAUGCCUGGUUGGGACUGUGCACAUCCCUUUAUUGUAAAAUUAUCCCAAAUUUGGUGCUGCUGGCUUGGGGCCAUCUCCAAAGACACUGCACGUUUAGCCUUAGCUGUGAAGGUUCAUGUUCACCCCUAGACAGGACACUUCCUGUGGAAAAAGUGGGGGUAGAGCAAUUGUGCAGAUAAUAGGCAAAGCAGGCAAAGACCUCAGGAGUCUAGAAUUUUCCCCUGCAGGCAAGGCGGGGUGUGGGCACGGGGCCUGGGGCCGGGCAGCACCGGACGUCAAGGUAUUGCCGAGAACGAGAUGCACCAUCAUGAUGGGGAGAAUCUUUUCCGGCUUCUCAUCAUCACACAAGCGUGAGAGGGUGCCGCAGGGAUCCAGGCAUCUCCAUCUGUGAGCCUCCAGGGUCUCUGCAGAAGAGGAAGGCUCCACCCACACUUCCUUGGCUAGAGUCAGUCAUGCGGCCACAGCCUAGUGCAAGGGAGGCUGGGAGGUGUGGUUUCAGGAUACCAGUGAAGCAGGAAAUGAGAAGAAAAGGGGACCUGUUUCUGACAUUAUUAAAAUAAAAAAUGCAUCUCUGCAUACCUCUCAGGCCACAUCUGGGAAAGGCUGACUUUUCUGAGAGGCCAGCAUGCAGUGCUGGGUGACCUUGAGCAGGUGACUUACCCACUCUGAGCUCAAGUCUUUGCCACACAUAUGGAGAGGCUCACUGGAGUUUUCUAGCUGGGAAGAUUCGACGCACAGCCCACCUAGCACUUGGCCCAGGGCAGAGCCCGCUGCGGCUCGUUCCGCCCCCACCCCCACAAACCGUGUUGCAGACACCAAG